UGGGGAAUCUUGCACAAUGGGGGAAACCCUGACGGAGCAACGCCGCGUGAGGGACGAAGGCCUCUGGGCUGUAAACCUCUUUUCUCAAGGAAGAAGAUAUGACGGUACUUGAGGAAUAAGCCACGGCUAAUUCCGUGCCAGCAGCCGCGGUAAUACGGGAGUGGCAAGCGUUAUCCGGAAUUAUUGGGCGUAAAGCGUCCGCAGGCGGCUUUUCAAGUCUGCUGUUAAAGCGUGGAGCUUAACUCCAUCAUGGCAGUGGAAACUGAAAGGCUUGAGUAUGGUAGGGGCAGAGGGAAUUCCCGGUGUAGCGGUGAAAUGCGUAGAUAUCGGGAAGAACACCAGUGGCGAAGGCGCUCUGCUGGGCCAUUACUGACGCUCAUGGACGAAAGCCAGGGGAGCGAAAGGG
rnacentral:rRNA from 1 species